GGGGGUGUAGCUCAGUGGUAGAGCGUGUGCUUAGCAUGCACAAGGUCCUGGGUUCAACCCCCAGUACCUCCA
rnacentral:tRNA from 1 species